rnacentral:lncRNA from 1 species
AAAGCUUUGAAUGUUCUAAAACAGCAGACUCUUUACGUUUAUUAGGAAAUCAAUUUGUAGACGUUGCAAAUCUACAGACUCGUAGGUUAGCUUUUGAUAAAAAUAUUUCUGAAUUGGAAUGCAUAUCUCUAAACUCCUCCAAUAAAAAAAAAACCUGUAAACAGCAAGAAAAGUGUGCUAGUAUCAGGUGUUUAAUUACUAAAUAUGAUUGUAACAUUGAUUGGGUGCAGUGCGGUACGUGCCAAAAAUUGUUCUAUCAAUUUUGUGAAAUUAUUGAUGGUUCGGAAAAGAAUGUAUUGUGUGAUAUAGAGAAGUAUGAGUGUUUAGCAUGUCAGGGUGAAGAUUUAGAAUGUCUUGACCUUUAUAUUUCUGAAAAAAUUUCUUUUAUACGCGCACAGCGCGAAGUUUUAGACGUUGAGUAUAUUCGAUUGCAGAUAGAGUGUGAAGACCUAGAAAAAAUAUCUAUAAGUAGCAUGGGGACUCAUGAGAGGUCUCUUUAUAAGGCCCUUGAAGAUAUGAAAGUUGAGCGACAAACUUACCAUGGUAAUGUAUUUGUAGGUAAUCAUUGUAAAAUAGUAUUAAGAAACCACUAUAAACUUUGUAGUGUUAUUGAUGAUGAAGCAAUUAAAAAUAGAUUUGUACGUGUGUUUAGUGUUUUUAAUAACUUGCAACCUAUUCUUUUUAAGCGAAAAUUUCUUUCUGAUGCCGAAAUUUCUGAGCUUCAUCAAUAUAUAAAUUUAUUUGCUAUUGAGUUUCAUGCUUGCUUUCCAAAAGAAAGUAUCACGCGAAAAAUGCAUGAACUCAUUUUCAAUGUGCCACUAUUUGUAAAAUUGCAUAAAACUAUUGGGUUGCUGAGUGAAGAGGAGGGAGAGUGUUUGCAUAAUAGCGUAAAUAAGGAAUUAAGGCAGUUGCAUUCAGUUAGAAAUCAGGAGCAAAAGCUGCAUCUUGUUUUAAAACGCUUUGAAUUGCACAGCAAAGCUGAUAGGAAGCUUCAAGCCUCUAAGGUGAGAAAGUGUGUUGUGUGUUCAGAGCGUGGCGAAAAUUCAUUUUAUAGACAAGGUCUUUGUCUUGUUUGUGGUCAUCAAAUUUAGUUUAAAUGUUUGAAAAGUUAAAAAAAAAAUUAAACUUUUUACAUCUAAGAUAAAUUAUAUAAGAUCCUUAACUUACAAAUAAGAGAAUUCUAUUCUGUUUUAAUGCCUGUAAUGUUUGUUCAAAAUAAAAAUAAUUUUUUAUUACAAUGAUUUUAUAUAUUAGGUAGAUGCCCAUUCUGUUCCUAUUUUCAAAAGUUUAUUAUAUCUAUGCAAUGCCUUUGCUCAGGUUAAAGAAUGGAAUAAAAGUCUAGCAUCAAAUGUAUAGCUCACUAUUUUAAUUUGUGAUCAGAGCAACUGAUCUCCGUUCAAUUUUUAUCAUCAAAAGUUAGUUCUACCUUCGCAGGACCUCUGCUCUACAUACCUCCUCUCUGGUUAAAGAAUGGAAUAUAAGUCUCAUUUAUCAAGUUGGUGUAAAAAUUUAGCUUGAUAAAUUAAGAAGUUGUAAACUUUAUUAUCACAAUUGCCAAGUUGACCAAAUGUUCUUCUGGUUUUAAAUGAAUUAUGUAUGAGUCUAGUAUCAACUGGGUGUUCAAAGAUAGUUUACUGCUUAAAGAACUUAUCAAUGGACCAACUAAUUAUAAAACAGUUUUUAAUGAAAAUAAAAACGAAUUAUCAAAAGA